UACAGAGGUCUCGAGCGUUGUUCGGAUUCAUUGGGCGUAAAGGGUGCGUAGGCGGCGUGGCAAGUCUGAUGUGAAAUCCCGGGGCUCAACCCCGGAACUGCAUUGGAUACUGCCAUGCUAGAGUACUGGAGAGGAGAUUGGAAUUUACGGUGUAGCAGUGAAAUGCGUAGAUAUCGUAAGGAAGACCAGUGGCGAAGGCGAGUUUCUGGACAGUUACUGACGCUGAGGCACGAAGGCCAGGGGAGCAAACGGG
rnacentral:rRNA from 1 species